rnacentral:rRNA from 1 species
AUUGAACGCUGGCGGCAGGCCUAACACAUGCAAGUCGAACGGCAGCACAGAAGAGCUUGCUCUUUGGGUGGCGAGUGGCGGACGGGUGAGUAAUGUCUGGGAAACUGCCCGAUGGAGGGGGAUAACUACUGGAAACGGUAGCUAAUACCGCAUAACGUCGCAAGACCAAAGUGGGGGACCUUCGGGCCUCAAACCACCGGAUGUGCCCAGAUGGGAUGAGCUAGUAGGUGGGGUACUGGCUCCCCUAGGCGGCGAUCCCUAGCUGGUCUGAGAGGAUGACCAGCCACACUGGAACUGAGACACGGUCCAGACUCCUACGGGAGGCAGCAGUGGGGAAUAUUGCACAAUGGGCGCAAGCCUGAUGCAGCCAUGCCGCGUGUAUGAAGAAGGCCUUCGGGUUGUAAAGUACUUUCAGCGGGGAGGAAGGCGGUGAGGUUAAUAACCUUGCCGAUUGACGUUACCCGCAGAAGAAGCACCGGCUAACUCCGUGCCAGCCGCCGCAGUAA